GAUGAACGCUAGCGGCAGGCCUAACACAUGCAAGUCGAGGGUAGCAGGAUUAAGCUUGCUUAAUUGCUGACGACCGGCGCACGGGGUGCGUAACGCGUAUGCAACCUACCUUAUACUGGGGGUAUAGCCCGGAGAAAUUCGGAUUAAUCCCCCAUAGUACUAUUUGAUCGCAUGGUUGAAUAGUUAAAGCAUUGCGGUAUAAGAUGGGCAUGCGUCCUAUUAGCUAGAUGGUGAGGUAACGGCUCACCAUGGCUACGAUAGGUAGGGGGCCUGAGAGGGUGGUCCCCCACACUGGUACUGAGACACGGACCAGACUCCUACGGGAGGCAGCAGUGAGGAAUAUUGGGUCAAUGGGCGCAAGCCUGAACCAGCCAUGCCGCGUGCAGGAA
rnacentral:rRNA from 1 species